AAAUGAAUUGACGGGGACCCGCACAAGCAGUGGAGUAUGUGGUUUAAUUCGAGGCUACGCGAUGAACCUUACCAAGGCUUGACAUCCUCUGACAGCUCUAGAGAUAGAGCCUCCCUACGGGGCAGAGUGACAGGUGGUGCAUGGCUGUCGUCAGCUCGUGUCGUGAGAUGUUCGGUUAAGUCCGGUAACGAGCGCAACCCCUACGGUAAUUUGCCAGCAUUAAGUUGGGAACUAUUACAGGACUGCCGUUGACAAAACGGAGGAAGGUGGGGACGACGUCAAGUCAUCAUGCCCCUUAUGUCUUGGGCUACACACGUACUACAAUGGUAACUACAAUGGGCAGCCACACGGCGACGUGGAGCGAAUCUCAAAAGGUUAUCUCAGUUCGGAUUGCAGGCUGAAACUCGCCUGCAUGAAGCCGGAAUUGCUAGUAAUGGCAGGUCAGCAUACUGCCGUGAAUACGUUCCCGGGUCUUGUACACACCGCCCGU
rnacentral:rRNA from 1 species